UACAGAGGUCUCAAGCGUUGUUCGGAUUCAUUGGGCGUAAAGGGUGUGUAGGUGGCGCCGUAAGUCGGGUGUGAAAUUUCGGAGCUUAACUCCGAAACUGCAUUCGAUACUGCGGUGCUUUGAGGACUGGAGAGGAGACUGAAUUCAUGGUGUAGCAGUGAAAUGCGUAGAGAUCAUGAGGAAGACCAGUGGCGAAGGCGGGUCUCUGGACAGUUCCUGACACUGAGACGAAAGCCAGGGGAGCAAACGGG
rnacentral:rRNA from 1 species